CCAGAGGCCAUUGCUAUCAGGGUUUGACUAAGCCAUGCGAGUCGAGAGGGUUCGGCCCUCGGCAUACUGCUCAGUAACACGUGGUUAACCUGCCCUAAGGUGGUGAAUACUCCCGGGAAACUGGGGUUAAUGCACCAUAGUGGAUACUUGCUGGAAUGCUGUAUCCUCGAAAGAUCCGUCGCCUUAGGAUGGGACUGCGUCCGAUUAGGUAGUUGGUGGGGUAACGGCCCACCAAGCCUGUCAUCGGUACGGGUUGUGGGAGCAAGAUCCCGGAGAUGGAUUCUGAGACAUGAAUCCAGGCCCUACGGGGCGCAGCAGGCGCGCAAACUUUACAAUGCGAGCAAUCGUGAUAAGGAAACCCUGAGUGCCUGUUGAUGCAGGCUGUUCAUCUGUUUAAAGUGCAGGUGAAGAAAGGGCAGGGCAAGACCGGUGCCAGCCGCCGCGGUAAUACCGGCUGCUCGAGUGAUGGCCACUAUUACUGGGUUUAAAGCGUCCGUAGCUUGACUGAUAGGUCUCUUGGGAAAUCUUAACGCUUAACGUUAAGGCGUCUAAGAGAUACCGUCAGUCUUGGAACUGGGAGAGGUAAACCGUACUUCGGGGGUAGGAGUGAAAUCUUGUAAUCCUCGAGGGACGACCUAUGGCGAAGGCAGUUUACCAGAACAGCUUCGACAGUGAGGGACGAAAGCUGGGGGAGCAAACGGGAUUAGAUACCCCGGUAGUCCCAGCCGUAAACAAUGUGCGUUAGGUGUAUCGGUAACCACGCGUUACUGAUGCGCCGCAGAGAAAUCGUGAAACGCACCACCUGGGAAGUACGGUCGCAAGGCUGAAACCUAAAGGAAUUGGC
rnacentral:rRNA from 1 species